rnacentral:RNase_MRP_RNA from 1 species
GUUCGUUCUGAAGGCCUGUUUCCUAGGCUACAAGCAGAGGACUUGCUCCUUGUCUCCUUGCCUUGGGGAAAGUCCCCGGACCUUGGGCAGAAAGCGCCACGUGCUCACGCCCAUAGACCUUCCCCAUGCCUCACACUUAACCCACCAAGAAGCCACUUCAAAAGACACAUAGGAUAUGAUUAGUUCCUUAAGUAUUUUGUCCAUUGUCCUUUGAUUAAGAUUUUUAUGAUGUUUUUUCAUCAGUAGACUAUGGUUAUGAGUUUUGGAAAUAA